rnacentral:rRNA from 1 species
UACGUAGGGAGCAAGCGUUGUUCGGAUUCAUUGGGCGUAAAGGGCGCGUAGGCGGCGGGGUAAGUCGGGUGUGAAAUCUCAGAGCUCAACUCUGAAACUGCACUCAAUACUGCUCUGCUUGAGGACUGGAGAGGAGACUGGAAUUCACGGUGUAGCAGUGAAAUGCGUAGAUAUCGUGAGGAAGACCAGUGGCGAAGGCGGGUCUCUGGACAGUUCCUGACGCUGAGGCGCGAAGGCCAGGGGAGCAAACGGG